GGAAAGAAUUUAUUUCAGGUUCCUGCUCAAUGCUUCCUCCCCCAGGAAGGCCAGUGGAUGGCCCCUUGCUUGCAUUUCUGCUGGUGCAGUCACGGAGGCGACGCUCGGGUUCACACGGUCUGGAGGUCAGAGCCUAACGCCCUGGAGCAUUCUACAGAUGGGGAAAUGCAGCACAGGGCUGGUUCAUCGCAGGCGUGUUUACAUUCCCAAGUAUCCUAGACGACAGCAGCCGCUGAUAAGGAUGUCUCUGGUCUGGGAGCCUCCACAGUGACUUUAUCUCCCUAGAUAGAGCUGGCCGUUGGGGUUGGGGGAGGGAGGGCGCCUGAUAAUCUGCGCAGCCUCCAAGCCCACGCACGGGUGUGGCUGAGCCCACCUGGCUCUGGCCGGGUUUCCCUGUCCAUCCUUCUGGAUCCUGCCUGCUGUGCCUUCCACUCCCUCUCUCAAUCACGCUUGACCAGAUCCUGCCAAAGUCCCACUCCUCCUCCUCCCAGAUCUGCAUAAAUCUGUGAGCCACCUAAGGGAAGCGCCUCCUGGGGACCCAUUCCUACAGGGAGCUGGGAGCGGGGCUUUCCAC
rnacentral:lncRNA from 1 species